GAUGAACGCUAGCGGCAGGCCUAACACAUGCAAGUCGAGGGGGAAGUUACUUUCGGGUGACUGAGACCGGCGUACGGGUGCGUAACGCGUAUACAAUCUGCCUUUCACUGGGGGAUAGCCCGAAGAAAUUUGGAUUAAUACCCCAUAGUACAUAGGGACGGCAUCGUUUUUAUAUUAAAGCUUAGGUGGUGAAAGAUGAGUAUGCGUUCUAUUAGCUAGUUGGAGAGGUAACGGCCCCCCAAGGCGAUGAUAGAUAGGGGUUCUGAGAGGGAUGUCCCCCACACUGGUACUGGGAUACGGACCAGACUCCUACGGGAGGCAGCAGUGAGGAAUAUUGGACAAUGGUCGGAAGACUGAUCCAGCCAUGCCGCGUGCAGGAUGAAGGUCUUAUGGAUUGUAAACUGCUUUUGUAAGGGAAGAAUAAGGGCUACGCGUAGUUUGAUGACGGUACCUUACGAAUAAGCAUCGGCUAACUCCGUG
rnacentral:rRNA from 1 species